UCAUCUAGGACCAGCAAUCCAGUUUUUCAGCUCUGGCUGUUUUAGGCUUGAAGACAGGGUUUCACCAGGGAUCCUUGGCUGUCUCCUGACUCCAUCAUAAAUUCCCCCAGAAAGAAGUUCUGCAAUCACCUGCGCAGAAGUUGUAAAAGUAGCUAAGAAGAUCUGGGAGGAAAAGAGAAGAAGAGGGGAGGAGAAGAGGCAUAAGUAAAGAAGACUGUGUGAAAAUGGAGACAAGAUUGGAACGAUGUGUCUACAAGUCAAGGAACAGAAGGGAUUGGCAACCAUCACCAGAUGCUGAAGAAAGAAACUUAUCUUCAAUGUCCCUCCAUGCAAGAAAAAUAACUGGUGAUUUGCAGCACUUUGGGAGGCCGAGGCAGGCGGAUCACGAGGUCAGGAGAUCGAGAACAUCCCGGCU